UGUCUUCAAGGCGGGGUGCAAGUCCCCACCGGUGGUUAAAGUCCACAAGCUUUCGCUGAUCGGGUGAAAUUCCCGAACCGACGGUAUAGUCCGGAUGAAAGAAGAUG
rnacentral:ncRNA from 1 species